rnacentral:rRNA from 1 species
UAGCCGCUAGCGUACGGUAAGCAGCGUGUGUUCCUGUGCCGAAAGGACCGGGUAACCCGCUCAAUCUCCCUCGUGCUAGGGAUUGAGGCUUGCAAUUGUUUCUCAUGAACGAGGAAUUCCCAGUAAGUGCGAGUCAUCACCUCGCGCUGAUUACGUCCCUGCCCUUUGUACACACCGCAA